GACGAACGCUGGCGGCGUGCUUAACACAUGCAAGUCGAGCGGUAAGGCCCUUUCGGGGUACACGAGCGGCGAACGGGUGAGUAACACGUGGGUGACCUGCCUUUAGCUCUGGGAUAAGCCUGGGAAACUGGGUCGUAAUACCGGAUAUGACUCCGCGGUGCAUGCUGUGGGGUGAAAGCCGUUGUGCGGCUGGAGAUGGGCCCGCGGCCUAUCAGCUUGUGUGGGUGAGUGGCCUACCAAGGCGACGACGGGUAGCCGGCCUGAGAGGGCGACCGGCCGACACUGGGACUGAGACACGGCCCGAGACUCCUACGGGAGGCCAGCAGUGGGGGAAUCUUGCGCAAUGGGUCGAAAAGCCUGGACGCCAGCGACGCCGCGUGAGGGAUGACGGCCU
rnacentral:rRNA from 1 species